rnacentral:rRNA from 1 species
GACGAACGCUGGCGGCGUGCUUAACACAUGCAAGUCGAACGGAAAGGCCCUGCUUGCAGGGUACUCGAGUGGCGAACGGGUGAGUAACACGUGGGUGAUCUGCCCUGCACUUCGGGAUAAGCCUGGGAAACUGGGUCUAAUACCGGAUAUGACCUUCCAUGUAGUGUGGGGGGUGGAAAGAUUUAUCGGUGUGGGGUGAGCCCGCGGCCUAUCAGCUUGUUGGUGGGGUAAUGGCCUACCAAGGCGUCGACGGGUAGCCGGCCUGAGAGGGUGGACGGCCACAUUGGGACUGAGGUACGGACCAGACUGCUACGGGGGGCAACAGUGGGGAAUAUUGCACAAUGGGCGGAAGCCUUAUGCAGCGACGCCGCGUGGGGAAUGACGGCCUUCGGGUUGUAAACCUCUUUCGACAGGGACGAAGCUUCGGUGACGGUACCUGUAGAAGAAGCACCGGCUAACUACGUG